rnacentral:lncRNA from 1 species
GUCGAACAGCUGAAGCUGCAACAUCUUUCAGUUUGAGCUGUGCGUUGAUCCAGGUUAUUCCAGUGAGUUGAACGUGCAACAUUCGGACUUCCAGUACGAAGCCCUGCUUUUCCACUGGUUGCCUGAUACACAGGCAGGAUAUUCUUCUGGACAAUGGCUCUUGUCACUGGGUCUGGAAGGCAAACCUUCUGUGUCCUAGUGGAGGUGAGUUUGCCCAGGCACCUUCAACUACUGUACACCACGCUGACUUGCAGGUGCAACACGCUCUUUGCUGGCGUUCAGUCACACAAGCCACACGCUCCCCAGCGUGCACCACCCAAGGUAAGAAGAUGGGGAGGCAGACAAGGAGUUUCGCUGUGAGAGAUGUAAUAGAACCAAAAGGUGUGACCAGGCUUGCAUUGACCAUAUGGCUGCAGACCCUGCAUCUCACAAAGGAAUCAUCCUCUUUCAGCAUCCGAAAGCGGUGUCCCCAGAAGCUGAGACAGAAAAUAAAUUUUGUAUAAAGCACAUACGCAUUGGCUGCACAAAUGCAUGGAUGGAAACUUCCUGCGAGGGAGUCCGCAAGUGCCGCGUAAAUGGAAUAGAAUAGGGAGAACAGCGUGAACUGUGGUGGUAGCUCUACAUGAACACGUGCUGUGAGGUAAUAAUUAUCCUGCGCUACUUGUCAGCUCUAACUGGGUGAGGGAGGAGCCUGCAAGCCAGGACACAUGGGAAAAAAAUCAGGCCAUCUCAGUUCUAACCACCUAGCUACAUCACUUGGCCUUCAUUCAUUCAUUCAUUCAUUCAUUCAUUCUUUCGCUUUUUAAUUCGUCCGUUUGGCCAUUCAUUUUUGCGUAUAAUUAGUAUUGACCCUGGAAAACAAAAUCUGAAUGUCAUCCAGCCUACCCCCCUUCCCGACCAAUUUCCCCUCACUACCCCACCCGCCCUCGCUCCCUCACUACCUCAAACAUCACAGCACGGUCUGAGUGCAGUUGGCAGGUACUUUUCUUCACGAGAACAUGAAAAGAAUGUUAAUAUUACUGGAGAGUGCGUGUGAGCCGAGCGCCGCCGCUGCCCCACUCUGAUAGUCAAUAUAUCAGGCCCAUUGGUUCCAUCUCCACCAGGGGCCUAACGCGUCGCUGAGCACGUUAAAUAUUUAACGAGAGUCUCACGCAAUAUUCCGGCAACCUGGCUGGAGGCUCCGUAACCCUGCAGUGGGUGUUGCGGCAGAAAUGUGCACCUGUGCCUUUGGUAAUGGUAGGAUGCUUUUACUGCCCCUUGCUUGCUGGGAUUGCUGAACAAGAGCCUGUUCAUGCAUUAUGAUGAACCAUGCUUCAUAUGAAAGUCUGUGGCAAGGAAAGAAAGUAUAACUUGCAGAUCUUCAUUCUUAGAGACUAACAUAAUGGCAUUCAUUGUUACCUUGCUCUUAUUUUGAUUCUAAAAUGUGGAACGGGGUGGAAAUCGUACAUGCUCUGGUUAAGCACAUUAAGUAGUGUACAGCGCAUGAUAUAUGAAUUAAUUACA